rnacentral:rRNA from 1 species
GUCGAAACCUGCCCAGCAGAAUGACCCGCGAACUGUCGUUUUCAAUUUGGCGGGGUGCGAGAGGCGUUCUGUCACCCGCCCCCGCUCCCCUGAGAGACGCGGGCUCCCGUGCCUUCUUGGGCUUCAACAAAGAACCCCGGCGCGGAACGCGCCAAGGAACACGAACUAAAGGAGGACAAUCCCGCUGCCUCGGGAACGAUGUGCGCGGGAGUGUCUUGUCUCCUGUACAAAAUCAAAACGACUCUCGGCAACGGAUAUCUCGGCUCUCGCAUCGAUGAAGAACGUAGCGAAAUGCGAUACUUGGUGUGAAUUGCAGAAUCCCGUGAACCAUCGAGUCUUUGAACGCAAGUUGCGCCCGAAGCCUUCUGGCCAAGGGCACGUCUGCCUGGGUGUCACACAACGUAGCCCCUCCAACCCACUGGGUAAGGUGGGGGGCAGAUAUUGGCCUCCCGUGCGCCCCCGCUCGCGGUUGGCCCAAAUCYGAGUCCCCGGCGAUGAGCGCCAAGGCAAGCGGUGGUUGAAAGACCCUCGGACGUUGCCGGACGCUCGACUUUGGUCGGGAUGACCACAAGACCCUUAAGCGUUUCCCUUGUGAACGCUCCCUAUGCGACCCCAGGUCAGGCGGGAUUACCCGCUGAAUUUAAGCAUAUC